UACUCAUAGAGCUACAAAGUGAUACUAUAC
rnacentral:piRNA from 1 species